GGGGCAUAGAAGCAGAACCGAGUCGUAUGUGUGGAGGGAUAGUAACUGUGUGUGUAUAUGGUGAAACAUUGUGAUAUGACCUGUUGGUGGUAACUGUGGCCUUGGGUAAGUUAUAUAGAGCUGUUCUCCAAUGAAUAAAAGACUUUCCAAAACCACAGUUGUGAAAAAACUAUGAAAAAGAAGGACCAGUUUAACUUUGUCAAAGACUUUUUCUGCAUCUAGUGACAUUACUAUCGCUUUUGUUUUGUGAGGCUGUGCCAGGCUAAUGAGGUUGAAUAAUUUUCUAACAUUAUUAGUAGAAUGUCUGCCUUUGAUGAAUUGUGUUUUAUCAUUGUGAAUUAUUGAGGGGAGUGCUGCUUUUAACCUGUAGAUGUAAGUAACUUAGCGAUAACUUUAAUGUUGAUAUUGACUAAUGACAAAGGCCAGUAGAUCUCUAUCUCUGGUCUCUGUCUUGUUUUAGUAUUCAUUCUAUUCAAAUAUUGUUCAUAUGGGAAAGGAACUAGGCACUUAUUUUUAAUUUUGGUCACUGAUCUGAUAAAUAAUGCCACUACAUGUUAGCAUGUAGUGGCUACCUACUAAAACUGAUGUGGCAAUAAAUACGUUAUACUGUGUGUAAGGCCUUCUAUAGACAGAUAUAAUAAGCAACUAUUGUCUUUGAUGUGGCUUUUCUUCUUUUAUUAAUAAUUGUGCCAAAGCCACAACUGUGUGACAAGGACACUUGUCCUUCUAUAUCAAAGUUGUUUUUUUAUUAUGUUCUUUAAAAUUAAAACAGAAUGGUUACAUAGGGCUUCAGAGUGCUUUAUUUAAAAUACACCAAGGUGAUACUUUGUAUCCAUUUUUAGAAAAACUACACUAUGUAUGCUGCAAUAGCUCUUGUGCACACUGGACAAGGGUGUGGUUGUGGCCCACUAGGUAGAGCAAUGUGUCUAUCAGUCAGAAGGUCAUCCUGAAUGUAAAUUCAAUAUACUAAACCCCACAUAAUAAAAUGUGUUGGGAAAAGUGUUUUACAUCGGUCUGUAAGGAGGGCUGCAGAUGCAAUAGACAAAACACACUGGGAGGGUGGAAUUGUCUUCAUCCAACAUACAAUUUCUUUAUAAAAUACAGAUAACCAGGCAGCUCAAGUCGUGGUAUGAACAACCAAAGAAGAAUCAUGUACAAACUUUUUAAAAAAAGGCUACAGGACUACUACCCAGGGAUGGGAAGCUCAAAUCUGCCAUUAAGAAGGCAAGAAAUCCAACAAAUGAACCCUGACAAGGCACACCUGUGAAGUGAAACCAUUUCAGAACAGAGCAGCUUCAAGUUCCUGGGUGUCCACAUCUCCGAGGAUCUCAUCUGGA